rnacentral:tRNA from 1 species
GCCCUGGUGGCGGAAUUGGUAGACGCGCUGGUUUCAGGUACCAGUGGCUGCAAGGCCAUAGGGGUUCGAGUCCCUUCCAGGGCA